rnacentral:lncRNA from 1 species
GCGGCUGCGGCGCGACAACGGCGCCCUCCGGAGGAGGCUGCAGGAACUGCAGGUGAGACACACCUGGGAUACACCGGGGUUACACCGGGGUUACACCUGGCGCUGGCUGACAACGAGCGGCUGCGGCGCGACAACGGCGCCCUCCGGAGGAGACUGCAGGAACUGCAGGUGAGACACACCUGGGAUACACCUGGGAUACACCUGGGAUACACCUGGGAUACACCUGGGUUACACCUGGGACAGGUGAGACAGGGACAGGGACAACGGCGCCCUCCGGAGGAGACUGCAGGAACUGCAGGUGAGACACACCUGGGACAGGUGAGAGACACCUGGGAUACACCUGGGUAACACCUGGGAUACACCGGGGUUACACCUGGGCUACACCUGGGAUACACCUAGGAUACACCAGGGUUACACCUGGGUACAUUGAGAACACACCUGGGGUACACCUGGGUUACACCUGGGACACACCUGGGAUACACCUGGGUUACACCUGGGACAGGUGAGACACACCUGAGAUACCUGAGAGACAAGUGAGAUACACCUGAGAUAGGUGAGAUACACCUGGGAUACACCGGGGUUACACCUGGGUUACACACAGGUUACUCCAAGGUUACACCUGGGUUACACCGGGGAUACACCUGGGUUACACCUGGGUACAUUGAGAACACACCUGGGUUACACACAGG